AUUGAACGCUGGCGGCAUGCUUUACACAUGCAAGUCGAACGGCAGCGCGGGCUUCGGCCUGGCGGCGAGUGGCGAACGGGUGAGUAAUGCAUCGGAACGUGCCCAGUUGUGGGGGAUAGCCCGGCGAAAGCCGGAUUAAUACCGCAUACGACCUGAGGGUGCAAGCGGGGGACCGAAAGGCCUCGCGCUUUUUGAGGGGCCGGUGCCGGGCUAGCUAGUUGGUGGGGUAGAGGCUUACCAAGGCGGGCAUGCGUAGCUGGUCUGAGAGGGCGACCAGCCACAUUGGGACUGAGGUACGGCCGAGGCACCUACGGGGGGCAGCAGGGGGGAAUAUGACGCAAUGGGCGGAAGGACGAUGUAGCCACGGCGCGUGCGGGCGGACGGCAUGCGGGGUGAAAACCGAUAGGGACUGGGACGAGGCGUGAGUGACGGUAAUGGGUAAAGAAGCACCGGCUAACUACGUG
rnacentral:rRNA from 1 species